UACGUAGGGGGCGAGCGUUGUCCGGAAUCACUGGGCGUAAAGGGUGCGUAGGCGGGUCUUUAAGUCAGGGGUGAAAUCCUGGAGCUCAACUCCAGAACUGCCUUUGAUACUGAGGAUCUUGAGUUCGGGAGAGGUGAGUGGAACUGCGAGUGUAGAGGUGAAAUUCGUAGAUAUUCGCAAGAACACCAGUGGCGAAGGCGGCUCACUGGCCCGAUACUGACGCUGAGGCACGAAAGCGUGGGGAGCAAACAGG
rnacentral:rRNA from 1 species